ACCUGGAUGGAUUUGGAAGAGAAGAGAUGACUUGGUGGGGAAGAGGUGCAGACACUCGGGUGUCUUCUACCAUGUCUGACAUCAUCUGGGAUCUAUUGAGGAACUUCCAAGUGAGCCUUGUGAAGGCCUCAGCUUCAGAGUGCACAGCCAGCCUGAUGCUGAGUCAUGAAAGCCAAAGGGAGCAGAGCUACAAUUUAAUCCCAUUCUCCAGCUCCAGCCAAGAAAAACUCUCCAGGAGCCUAAAAAACUCCCCUGAGCUGGACAGUUUUAAAAAAGGGAAGAUAAGAUAAACC